GGUAGGGUGGCCGAGGGGUCUAAGGCGCUGGAUUUAGGCUCCAGUCUCUUCGGGGGCGUGGGUUCGAAUCCCACCGCUGCCA
rnacentral:tRNA from 2 species